AGUAAUUAUAAUUAAUUAUAUAUUAUAUGUUAUAUAUUAUAUAAUAUAUAAUAUUAUUAUAUAUUACAUAUAUAAUUUGGCACUUAAUUAUAAUUAAUUAUAAUUAAUAUACAUAAUAAGUAUAUUAUAUAAUCUACUUAUUGUGUAUAUUAAUAUACUUAAUAAGUAUAUUAUAUAAGUAUAAUACACUUAAGUAAUUAAGUAUAAUUAAAGCAUAAACAAACCAGGGGUAGGGGGAGGGCGUCUCACCCCACCUCACAUAUAAAAUAAAACACUUUAAGUUAAACUUAUAUGUUGUGUGUUUGUACAUAUUCAUUAAUGUAAAUUAAUCUGUAAAGGGGUGAAAUCUGUAACACUGAGUCCUGUGAUCACUUCUAAUAAGAACUUUAAUAACAUUUUAAUAUCAAUUAAUAACUUUAAUAGCAUUUUAAUAACAAUUAAUAACUUUAAUAGCAUUUUAAUAUUAAUUAAUAACUUCAAUCGCAUUUUAAUAUCAAUUAAUAACUUGAAUAACAUUUUAACAACAAUUAAUAACUUGAAUAACAUUUUAAUAUCAAAUAAUAACUUUAAUAGCAUUUAAUAACAAUUAAUAACUUUGAAUAACAUUUUAACAACAAUUAAUAACUUUGAUAACAUUUUAACAUCAAUUAAUAACUUGAAUAACAUUUUAAUAUCCGUUAAUAACUUUGAUAACAAUUUAAUUAGCACCAAUCAAUUCCAUUUAUUGCAGAUCCGCCCCGGUACCUUCCCUUCCCUUCCCAGCUCCGUAUCCGCCCCGGUACCUUCCCUUCCCUUCCCAGCUCCGUGUUCGCUCCUGCGCCUUCAUUCAGAACCAGGAUUGGCCUGGGGUCCUUGUGAUGAUCAAUUUUAUCCCCAUUCAUCACCCAGCCCAGAAAUCGGCUCUGUACCCUUAAAACUUCAUCUGAGAGUGAAAGUGAGGGACAAGCACCGAAAGGGAAAGUGAGGGAGAAGCACCGAAAGUGAAAGUGAGGGAGAAGCACCGAAAGUGAAAGUUAUCAGAGAGGGAAAAGGCUGAGCUGGAAAUUCAGAUAAUCAAAUUUCCCUUGGGGUCCCAGCACGACUCAGCUGCUGAAACGCUGACCCGGGAGGAGAGGCUUCCCUCAACUGAAAUUGUUCUUAAAAAUACUGAGGGCAAUACAAAUUAAAGUAUUAAUAAUAAUAAUAAUAAUAAUAAUAAUAAUAAUAAUAAUAAUAAUAAUAAUAAUAAUAAUAAUAAUAAUAAUAAUAAAUUCUAAAUUAUUAUUAAUUAUUAAUUUUUA
rnacentral:lncRNA from 1 species